rnacentral:rRNA from 1 species
CCUGGGUUUGACAUACACCCGGACCGCCCCCAGAGAUGGGGUUUCCCCUUGUGGUCGGUGUACAGGUGGUGCAUGGCUGUCGUCAGCUCCGUGUCCUGAGAUGUUGGGUUAAGUCCCGCAACGAGCGCAACCCUUGUCCUGUGUUGCCAGCACGUAAUGGUGGGGACUCGCAGGAGACUGCCGGGGUCAACUCGGAGGAAGGUGGGGACGACGUCAAGUCAUCAUGCCCCUUAUGUCCAGGGCUUCACACAUGCUACAAUGGCCGGUACAGAGGGCUGCGAUACCGCGAGGUGGAGCGAAUCCCUUAAAGCCGGUCUCAGUUCGGAUCGGGGUCUGCAACUCGACCCCGUGAAGUCGGAGUCGCUAGUAAUCGCAGAUCAGCAACGCUGCGGUGAAUACGUUCCCGGGCCUUGUACACACCGCCCGUCACGUCAUGAAAGUCGGUAACACCCGAAGCCGGUGGCCUAACCCCUCGUGGGAGGGAUGCCGUCGAACGGUGG